UACGAAGGGGGCUAGCGUUGUUCGGAUUUACUGGGCGUAAAGCGCACGUAGGCGGAUCGUUAAGUCGGGGGUGAAAUCCUGGAGCUCAACUCCAGAACUGCCUUCGAUACUGGCGAUCUUGAGUCCGGAAGAGGUGAGUGGAACUCCUAGUGUAGAGGUGGAAUUCGUAGAUAUUAGGAAGAACACCAGUGGCGAAGGCGACACACUGGCCCGUUACUGACGCUGAGGCUCGAAAGCGUGGGGAGCAAACAGG
rnacentral:rRNA from 1 species